rnacentral:rRNA from 1 species
CUGGGAAUAUUGCGCAAUGGGGGAAACCCUGACGCAGCGACGCCGCGUGGAGGAAGACGGCCUAUGGGUUGUAAACUCCUUUUAUCAAGCCGUUCACAGCUUGAAGAAUAAGCUCCUACUAACUACGUGCCAGAAGUCUCGGUAAUACGUAGGGAGCAAGCAUUAUCCGGAUUUAUUGGGCGUAAAGUGUGGCGUAGGCUUUCUAUCAAGUCUUUAUUGAAAGCCCGAGGCUCAACCUCGGUUUUGGUAAAGAUACUGACAGAAUGGAGGUUUAACAGGGGUGCUAGAACAGCUAGUGUAGCAGUGAAAUGCGUUGAUAUUAGCUGGAAUACCAAAGGCGAAGGCAGGCACCUGGGUUUUACCUGACGCUGAGGCACGAAAGCCAGGGUAGCGAAACAGAUUAGAUACCUGUGUAGUCCUGGCCGUAAACGAUGUCCGCUAGCUGUGGUCCGCAAGGGCCGCGGUGUAAGCUAACGCGUUAAGCGGACCGCCUGGGGAGUACGGCCGACG